GUUUUUCGCUUCGAGAUGAGCUCGCGUGAGAUUAGCUAGUUGGUGAGGUAAUGGCUCACCAAGGCAACGAUCUCUAACAGGUCUGAGAGGAUGAUCUGUCACACUGGAACUGAGACACGGUCCAGACUCCUACGGGAGGCAGCAGUAGGGAAUAUUGCACAAUGGAGGAAACUCUGAUGCAGCGACGCCGCGUGAGUGAUGAAGGACUUCGGUUCGUAAAGCUCUGUCGCAUGGGAAUAAUAAAGUG
rnacentral:rRNA from 1 species